GCCUGGCAGCUCUAGGCCCAUGUAGCACACCCAGAGCAGAAGUUCUACUUCAGCCAGAUCAGGCCUGACCAUAAACUGCGUUUCACAGGCCUUGGUAAGAGAUGUUCGCAGUAGGCUGUAAGAGCACUGGGCACAGCCAGUUGUUUCUUAGCUUCCCGAACAGCUGGAAGCAGGAUGCUUUGGGACCUCUCUGCCCCUUUGCAAACAAGGCGGCCUUUUGGGCCUGGCAGCUCAAGGACGAUGGAGCUCACCCAGAGCAGAAGUUCUACUUCACCAGAUCAGGCCUGCCAAGAAACUGCGUUUCACAGGCCUUUGUAAAAGAUGUUCCCGGUAGGCUGUAAGAGCACUGGGCAGAGCCAGUUGUUUCUUACCUUCCUGAAAAGCUGGAAGCAAGAUGCUUGGGACCCCUCUGCCCGUUUGGGAACAAGGCAGCCUUUUGGGUCGGGAAGCUCUAGGCCAAUGGAGCACACGCAGAGCAGAAGUUCUACUUCACCCUGAUCAGGCCUGCAAAGAAACAGCGUUUGACAGGCCUUGGUAAGAGAUGUUCCCGGUAGGUGUAAGAGCACUGGGCAGAGCCAGUUGUUUCUUAGCUUCGCAAAGACCGGGAAGCAAGAUGCUUUGGGCCUCUCUGCCCCUUGGAAACAGGGCAGCACUUUUGCCUGGCAGCUCUAGGGCAAUGGAGCACACCCAGAGCAGAAGUUCUACUUCAGCCAGAUGAGGCCUGCCAAGAAACUGCGUUUCACAGGCCUUUCAAAGACAUGUUCCCGGUAGGCUGUAAGAGCACUGGGCAGAGCGAGUUGCUUCUUAGCUUCCCAGAGAGCUGGAAGCAAGAUGCUUUGGGGCCUCUCUGCCCCUUUGCAAACAAACAAGCCCUCAGGUCCUUGCUGCUCUAGGCCCAUGUAGCACACCCAGAGCAAAAGUUCUACUUCAGCCAGAUCAGGCCUGCCAAGGAACUGCAUUUCACAGGCCUUGGAAAGAGAUGUUCCCGGUAGGCUGUAAGAGCACCUGGCAGAGCCUGUUGUUUCUUAGGUUCCCAAACAGCUGGAAGCAACAUGCUUUGGGGCCUCUGUCCCCCUUUGGAAACAAUGCAGUCCUUUGGCCUGG
rnacentral:lncRNA from 1 species